rnacentral:antisense_RNA from 1 species
CUUCACCGAGCCCAGCAGCAGCGGCCGGACCUCGGGCCGCUCCUGGCCGUACGUGGCCAGCAGCGCCUGCGCCUC